UGCACGUUUGUCCCUGCCCCUGACCA
rnacentral:piRNA from 1 species